UACAUGAAGAUGGCGGAGUGCUUGAGAGAGGCACUCCGUCUGCCCCCAUAUAAUCUACUAAGUCUCUUGAACAGAUCAAAGUCGUUGAAGAUUAUCUCCAAAUUAUAUGCAAGGCAAGCUCAAGCGUCUGAUGUUAGAAAACUAUGCUCGAUGGUUGUUGGUUUGGGUAAUCAUUCCCUUCCUGACACACGCCAUAGUGUUGGAAUGCUUGUAGUUGACUGUCUUGCCAAGUAUUUGGGAACUUCAUGGCAUUUCAAUAAGCAAUCUUUGGGUUAGGUAGCAGUAACCAAAGUGGUCACAAUAUAUAAUGUGAACCCAUCUGAUGUUAUUCUUUUUCAUGAUGACCUUGACAGACCUUUAGGUAAGUACAGUUUAAAACAUG